UAGGGGGCGUAGCAAUACGUCACCGGCGGACGGGUGCGUAACACGUGGGAAUGUACUUACUGGUUCGGAACAACUCAGGGAAACUUGAGCUAAUACCGAAUGUGCCCGAAAGGGGAAAGAUUUAUCGCCAGUAAAUCAGCCCGCGUCCGAUUAGCUAGUUGGUGGGGUAAAGGCUCACCAAGGCGACGAUCGGUAGCUGUUCUGAGAGGAAGAUCAGCCACACUGGGACUGAGACGCGGCCCAGACUCCUACGGGAGGCAGCAGUUGGGAAUCUUGGACAAUGGGGGAAACCCUGAUCCAGCCAUGCCGCGUGAGUGAUGAAGGCCUUAGGGUUGUAAAACUCUUUCGGCGGGGACGAUAAUGACGGUACCCGCAGAAGAAGCUCCGGCUAACUUCGUG
rnacentral:rRNA from 1 species